AUUUAGUCCACCGUUGACAUUGUAACUUCUGUUCUUAGGCACAACAUACAGGAAGGGUGAACUUCCUAUACCUAAAACUGGACAUGUGUCCGAUUGUUAAUUUCAUCCCUGCACCUUCCUGCAGGUUUAAUUAUAACAUUUUUCUCUGCCCAGCACCUGAGUGAUCUGACUCUCUUGCCUAAGACCAGCCCACAGAUGGAAUAGUGACCUACUGCUGAACCCAGAAUGGAGGGGAUGUGGCUCUAUUUUUCUGCACUGGUCCUGUUCACAGGGGACAUUGUGACAUAUCGCUGGGCCUUGCACUUCUGUGUACUACCCACAGAAGGCAUUGUGACAUAUCUCUGGGCCCCAUGCCCAGGUUAUGUGACUCUCAUGCCUGUCCCCUGACCACAUAAGCAAUUGUGACAUAUUGCUGGGUGUGACACCCUGGUAAUGCAGCUCUAGUGCCAGCAAGCAGCAUUAUGACAUAUAUUUUCACUCAUCACCUGGGUGAUGUGACUCUCUUCUCCUGCCUGGUCCCUGCUCACAGGGGGAGUUGUGACAUAUCACUUUGCUCAGCACAAAACAAUUGUGAUUUUUCUUUCAUCCUAAGUUCUGCUGGCAAGGAAGAUUGAGACAUACCAUGGGGCUCUACACCAAUGUGACAUUACUGUUUUGCCUUGGCCUGGACCUCAAAAGGCAUUGUGACAUAUUGAUGGGCCCAGUGACAAGGUGACAUGAGUCUCCCGUAUGGGCCCUGAUAACAGAGUGUUGUGACAUAUCUUUAAAAGCAUCAACUAUUUGAUGUGACUCUCCUUUUAUAACAAGGCUUUCCUCAUAUGAGAGAUUGUGACAUACCUUCUGGCACAGAAAUCAGGUGAUAUACUUCUCCUGCCUGAGCGUUGCUCACAAAGAAUACUGUGAUAUAUCACUGGUCUCAGCACCCAGGUGAUGUGACUCUACUGUCUGUGUCCUGCUUUCAGGAGGAAAUUUAACAUAUCCCUGACCAAGCACCCAGGUUUUAACUCUUCUGCCUGGUGCCUGCUCACAGAGAAGAUUGUGACAUAUCCCUGGCCUAUUACUUAGAUGAUAUAACCCUCCUGCUUGCUUCCUAUCCACAGGGGAGUGGAUUGUGACUUAUCUCUUUGUUCAGAUCAUAGGUGCAAUGUUGACUCUCAUAUCUGAAAUCAACCAAUAGGAGACAUACUAUCUCUCAUAUGUGGGCUUAGGAAAAUGGGUAAGAUUCUGGCUCUUCAGGAGACAUACUAUCUCUCAUAUGUGGGCUUAGGAAAAUGGGUAAGAUUCUGGCUCUUCCCAGAGAGGAAGAAGGAAGUAGAAAGGUCAGAGAAAAUUACACUCUCUCACAUAUUGUAUAAAGCCCUUGGUGGUACAGAGAGUGUCAUAACAGGGUCCAGGAAACAGAUGAGAUUGUGUUUUAUGUGUGCACUUUGCCAACUGUUAAGAUUGUCACCCUCAUUCAGGACAGAGCCUACUGGUGAGGUCUUAAAUCUUACAGGUGAAUGCAGUGCAGAGUUAAAAUUGUGACUGCCAUACGUGAACAUCAGGCAACAGCUGAGAUGGUGACUCAUUAGUAAGCGUAGCUUAUAGGCAGGCGACAGCUCUCAUAUCUGGACCCAGCCAUUAUGGAGAUGUUAACUCAUAUCUGUACAUAGAGCCACAGGUAUGAUCAUGAGUCCAUCCCAGCCCAAAUGGCUCCCAGUCACAAAAGAUUGCGACUCUCAGGCAAACCUAAUAAAUUCCUCAGGUGGUACACAGAAUGUUCUAACUGGGCUCAGCUUACAGUUGAGGUUUUGACACUCCUGCACACCCAGCCAACAAUAAACAUUGUCAUCUUUUUUAUAUGAACACAGUCCACUGUGUAGAGAUAGUCUCUCAUAUCUCAUAUGCAGAGAUAGUCUCAAGUUGGAAAAUUUACUCUUGUAAGUGAAUCCAGUCCAAAAGUAAGUUGGUGACUUUCAGACCAGGAUUGAACACAGCUGUUAGUCUGUGAUUCCACUAAGGUGACACAAACAAUAAGAGGGAUUGAGUCCAGCCGGGCGCAGUGGCUCACGCCUGUAAUCCCAGCAGUUGGGAGGCGGAGGCGGGUGGAUCAUGAGGUCAAAAGAUUGAGACCAUCCUGGUCAACAUGGUGAAACCCAGUCUCUACUAAAAAUACAAAAAAUUAGCUGGGCAUGAUGGUGCGUGCCUGUAAUCCCAGCUACUCAGGAGGCUGAGGCAGGAGAAUUGCCUGAACCCAGGAGGCGGAGGUUGCGGUGAGCCAAGAUCGCACCACUGCACUCCAGCCUGGGUAACAAGAGCGAAACUCUGUCUCAAAAAAAAAAGAGGGAUUGAGUCAUUCAGUGAUUCAAUUCAUUCUAAAAAUUGUGACUUGUGUACUUAGACCCAACAUACAGGAGGUGUUGACUCUCAUACAAAGAUUUGGACUAUGUACAGGAUUGUUAAUCUUAUCCCUAGUCUUUCCUGCAGGUGUGAUUUUGAUAUACAAAUUCUGCCUGGCACGUGAGUAAUGUUGUUCUUCAAAAUUGGCCCAGCCUACAAGUAGAAUUGUGCCAUACUGCUGGACCCAGCACCUAUGUGAUGUAACUCUAUUCUCCUGCCUUGGUGCUACUCUAAAAAGACAUUGUAACAUAUCACAGCCUUGCACCCAGGUAAUGUGAGUCUCCUCUCUUGCCUUGGUGCUGGACACAGAAGUGGGAUAUGUACAGGAUUGUUAAAUAUCUGACCUUCUUUGCAUCUUUGACCUUCCUGCACCUGUGAUUGUGACACAUGCCUCUGUGUUGAAGCUGAGUAAGUUUACUCUCCUGCUUGGAUUUAACCCACAGAUAGAAUUGUGACAUGUUGCUGGAUGAGAAACUAGGUUAUGUGACUCUAUUCUCUUGCCUCUGUGGUUUCACAUGGGGUAUUGUGACAUAUCACUGGGCCUUGCACCCAAGUGAUGGGAAUUUUCUCUCCUGGUUUGGUGCUGUCCACAGUGAGCGUUGUGAAGUAUUGCUGCCAUCCCACCCAGGUUAUGCUACUCUCCUGCCUCUGCUUUGCCCACAUGAGUGACAUAUUGCAGGUUCUAAAGCCCAGGUAAUAUAACUCUUGUUUGGCUUCUGCCUGCAGGAGCCAUUGUCACAUAUCUCUGUGCUCAUCACCCAGGUGAUGUGACUCCCUUUUUCUGCCUAGUUCCUUCUCACAAAAGUAACAUCUCUAGGCCCAGUACCUAGCUGGUGUGACUCUUUUAUUCCUUGUAGGAUCCACCUGCAGCAGAGAUUGUAACAUACCUCUGGGUCAGCAGCAUGGUGCUGUUACUCUUUUGCCCUGGGCCUGCCCUCAGAAGGCACUGUAACAUAUUCAUGAGCCCAACACCAAGGUGAUGUGUGUCUCUAGCCUAGACCCUGCCAUCAGGGGGCAUUGUGACAUAUCCCUUGGCCCAUCAGGUGUUUGAUGUUAUCCCCUCCCCUCUUUUACCCUAUGUUUUUCUAUAAGAGACUUGGUCACAGUUCCUGGGCCCAGCACAUAGGUGAUGUCUUCCUGAGACCUGUCCAUACGGGGAUUGUGAUACAUCACAUGGCCCAGUACUUAUUGAUGUGACUCUCCCCUCAUGCCUAGGCCCUGUUCACGGGUGUGAUUGUGACACAUAGGCUGGCCUAGCCCCUUAGUUAUGUUACUCUCCUCUUAUUCUCCAGUCAUUUUUCACAGGGGGCAUUGUGACAUAUUGCUGGACUGAGAAGCUAGGUGAUGUGACUCCCCUCUACUGCUUGAAAUAUACCCAAAAAGAGAGUUUGAUAUAUCACUUGGCCAGGAUCCUAGGUGAUGUUACUUUUUUCUUCUGCCUAAGCCCUGCAUACAUUAUGUAUUUUGACACAUUACUGGGGCCAACACCUAGGUGAUGUAACUCUCCUGCAUGGGCUUUGCCUACAGGGAUAUGAUGAUGUAUCUUUUCAUUCAUCAUACAGGUGGUGUGACUCUCCACUUAUGCCUGCGCCUUGAUGAAAGAGGAAUUGUGACAUAUCCCUGGACCUAGCACUUAGGGGAUGUAACUCGCCUUUAUUGCCAGGGCAUGAAAUAUUAUGAGUAUUGUGAUAUAUCUCUGGGUCCGACACCUAGGGUAUGAGAGGCUCCUGCCUGGGCCCUGCCCACAGGAGGCUUUGUGGCAUGUGUCUGGCUUCAUUACCUAGAAAGAGGUGAUUCUCCUCUUCUACCUGUUUUCUUCCCACAGAGAAGAUUCUGACAUCACUGAACCCAGCAAUUAGAUGAUGUUUCUCAGGCCUGACAUGGUGGCUCAUGCCUAUAAUCCCAGCACUUUCGGAGGCUGAGGGAGGUGGAUCAUGAGGUUAGAAAUUCGAGAUCAGCAUGGCCAACAUGGUGAAACCCCAUCUCUACUAAAAAUAGAAAAAUUAGCUGGGUGUGGUGGCAGGCACCUGUCAUCCCAGCUACUGGAGAGGCUGAGGCAGGAGAAUCAUUUGAACCUGGGAGGUGGAGGUUGCAAUGAACUGAGAUUGUACUAUUGCACUUCAGACUGGGUGAUAAUGCAAGAUUACACAUCAAAAAAAAAAAAAAGGAGGAGGAGGAAGACAUAAUUUCUCUGCUGUCUAAUCCUUGCCCACAAGAACAUUGUGACAUAUCCUUGGGCUCAGCACUCAGGUGAUGGGACUCUGCCACCUGUUCCGUCUACUUAGGCUAUUGUGAAGUAUAGCUGGUUUCAAUACCCAGGUGAUGUAACUCCUGCCAGGCCACUGCCUUUCAGGGAUACUUUUGACACAGCUUUGUGCCAGUCACUCAGGAGAUGUGACUCUUUUCACUUGCCGGGUCCUUGUUCACUGGGGGAUAAUAAUGUCUAUUGCUGGUUUUGCACUGAGCUGAUGUGACUUGUCUCUUUUUCCUAGAUUCUGACUGCAAAAAACUGACAUAUCACUAGGCCCAUCAGCAGUUAUUUUGCCUGGCCCACCCCUUAAAAGACAUUGUGACAUAUUGCAGUGCCCAGCACCAAUGUUAUUUGUCUCCUGACUAAACCCUGCCUACUGGGGGCACUGUGACAUAUCUCUUGGCCCAUCAACUAUUUGAAGUGACUCUUUUUGCUUACCUGGGUUUUGCCAGUAGUAGAGAUUGUGACCUAUCUCUGGGCCCAGCACCUAGAUGUUGUGACUCUCCUCCCCUGCCUGCUCCAUGCCCACAGAAAAAAAGUGACUUAUCACUAGGCUCAACUCACAAGUGAUUCAACUUUUCUGCAUGACCCCAGCCCGCAUGACUUAUUGUGACAUCUCUAGGCUCAUCAACUAGAUGAUGUGGCUCUCCUUUUCCUCUGGGAACUGUCCAGAAUGAGGAUUGUGAUACAUCACUUGGCCCUGCACCUAUGUGAUAGGACCCUCUUUUCCCUGGGCCCAUCAGUUCGGGUGAUUGUGUCAUACAGCUUAACUCAGCCUCUAGGUUGUGUGACUCUCCUGUUUUUCCUGAGUCCUACCCACAGAGGUCAUUGCAACAUAUCUCUGAGCCCCUAAUUUAGGUAAUUUGACUCUCCUGCCUGGGUCUUUCCCUCAGUAAUUUUUGUGACAUUUUUUGAUUCAGCACCUGGGUAAUGUGACUCUUCUCCACUGCUUGGACUGUCACAGAAGGUAUUGUGAUGUAUCACCAGGCCUAACACCUAGGUGAAGAUACUGUCUUCUGCGUGGACCCUGCAUAAAUUGUAUAUUUUGAUAUGUCAUCCCUUGAUUCAGGACAUGUAUGUAAUUUUUAAUGUCAUCACAAGACUUUUCAACAUACACCAGUAAUUGUGAAACUGUGACAUAUGCCUUGGCCCAGCAUUGAGUUAUUUGUCUCUUUUUCCUGAGCCCAGCUCACGGUGCCAUAUUGCUGGUCCCAGAACCUUGGCAAUUUGAUUCUAUUCUGCCUUGAUACAGCCCACAGGUGUCAUUGUGACAUAUCGGUGUGCACUGUACUCCCGUGAUGUUAGUCUCCUCUUCUGCCUUGGUGUUGCCCACAGGUGUAUUGUGAUAUCUUUCUGGAUAUAUGCUAUGUAAAUUUUUUUCUUGUGCCCUAAACACAUAGGCCAUUGGAACAUUGCUGAUUUCAACACCCAAGAGAUGUAAUGCUUCAUCCUGGAUCUGUCUACAGAGGACAUUGUAAUAUAUGUCUUUAGUAAUCAACCUGAAAAUGCGACUGUCUUUUCCUGCCUGUUCCCUAAUAACAGGGUGUAUUGGGACACAUUGUUGGGCCCAGCGCCUAGCUGAUGCGACACUUUUCUUUUUUUAAGGUUCUGCUCACAAAAGAGAUUAUGACAUAUGACUGUGCCUAACACUAAUGUGAUACUACGUUUUUUGCUUUGGCCAUUCCCUUAGAAAGCAUUGAGACAUACUGCUGGGCCCAGCUCUAAGAUGAUGUGAGUCCUCUGCCUGGACCACUGGGAGAUUGUGAUGUAUUUCUUGACCUAUUACAAUCUCUCCUGGGGCGAAGCUCAGGUGGAGUUGCGACAUAACUUGGCCAAGCACACAGAUGUAUUGAUGACUUUCAUACCUCGAAGAAGCCAACAGGAGAGAUCAUGUUGCUCAAAGCUAUGCUUAGGGAAACAAAGAAGAUCCUGGGUCUUUUCCUUAUAGAGAAUUACCACUCUUUCACAUAUAUAAAGCCACAGUGUGUUACAGAGAAUGUCAUAAAAGGGUUUACUAUGAAGAUGAGAUUUGUCCUAUGCACACCCCACCAAUCAAACCGGGAGACCCCUUUAUGACUGUAUGGAAACAGUAGACGAGUUGUUCAUAAGCUGAGGAGACCUUACAGACCAGCCCCUCAGGGACCCAGAUAUUGAAUAUUUUACAGAUGGGAGCAGUUUUGUGCUGGAAAAGGUCCGUCGGGCUGGGUAUGCAGUGGUAACAUUGGACUCAGUGGUGAAGACUCAGCCUUUGCCCACUGAAACGUUGGCCCAGAAGGAAGAGCUAACAGCCUUAAAAAGAGCUCUUUUGGGGCCAGGCACAGUGGCUCAAGCCUGUAAUCCCAGCACUUUGGGAGGCCAAGGUGGGUGGAUCAUGAGGUCAAAAGAUCGAGACCAUCCUGGUCAACAUGGUGAAACCCAGUCUCUACUAAAAAUACAAAAAAUUAGCUGGGCAUGAUGGCGUGUGUCUGUAAUCCCAGCUACUCAGGAGGCUGAGGCAGGAGAAUUGCCUGAACCCAGGAGGCGGAGGUUGCUGUGAGCCGAGAUCGCGUCAUUGCACUCCAGCCCAGGUAACAAGGGCGAAACUCCGUCUAAAAAAAAAAAAGAGCUCUUUUGCUGGCAAAAGACAGUAAGGUUUACAUUUAUACUGACUCCAAGUAUGCCUUUGACACAUUUCAUGUUCAUGGAGCUAUGCAUAAGGAGAGAGGAGUUUUAACUGCUGGGGAAAAAGAAAUAAAAUACAAGGAAGAGAUUUUGCAGCUCUCAGAUGCUGCAUGGGCUCCAGAAAAAGGGGGUGUUAUGCUUUGCAAAGGGCACCAAAAGGCAGGGAUGCCAGAGGCCAAAGAAACAGGAAAGCAGACCGGGAGGCAAAACGGGCAGCAAUGAUCACACUGAACUUUAAAGAGAAAGUAUUAGCUCUGCCCCUCCUCCCAGAGCCUCCUCUCCAGGAAGCCCCGAGUUACUCUCCAAAUGAGGCCUGGUUUGCCCAAGAAACUGGAAUAUAUAUUGAAGGAGGAUGGUGGAAGUUCUCUGAUGGGAGAUUGGCCAUCGCUGAGAUGGUGGGUCCUAGAUUUGUGAAGCAGUUCUACCAAGGAACUCACAUGGAAGAAACGGCACUAGAAACGCUACUAGGGUGCCAUUUCUACAUGCCCCAGCCUACUGCCAUCACCUGAGCCAUUUGUGAACAGUGCCUAACCUGUGCUCAGAACAAUCCAUGGCAAGGUCUCACUCAGCCCCCAGGAAUUGAAGAAAUGGGAGCCAUGCUCCCCAGAUCUGGACUGCCUCUAACUCCAGGGUCAGACAACAGACUGGCAUUUGUAGCUGAGAUAGUUCAGGAACUAACAGCCACUAAAACUAAAGUAGAAGCUGCAUGCUGCCUACUGGCCACAGAGCUCGGGAAAAGUGGAGCGCAUGAACGGGACACUCAAGCAGCUGCUGAAGGAAUAUUGCCAAGAAACUCAUCUAAGGCGGGAUCAGGUCUUGCCCAUGGUCCUCCUGAGUCAGGUGCACCCCCACUAAACAAACUGGGCAUUCACCCUGUCAGAUUUUGUAUAGCCAGUCACCCCCAAUCAUGAGCCAGAUUAAGGGUGAUCUCCAGGAGCUAGGGAAACUAACCUUGAGAAGGCAAAUGCAGGCCUUAGGGACAGCCAUGUAAAGUGUCCAUGGUUGGGUACAGGAAAGAAUACCUGUAAGCCUAGUGGACCCAGUAUACCCCUUUAAACUUGGGAACUCUAUUUGGGUUAAAAAGUGGAAUCCAUUUAGUCUGGGACCCAUAUGGAAUAGACCCCAUACUGUAAUCUUGUCCACUCCCACUGCUGUUAAAGUUGCAGAAAUCGUGCCUCGGAUCCACCACAGUGAGCUAAAGUCGGUGGCCCAGGACAAGUGGACCUGUCAGUCAAACACAGACCACCCGAGCCAGCUGAUCCUACAAUGAGACCAGGCUGCUGACAAAGACAACAGCCCUGCUCUGGUCGCUCUGGAAGUCUACGCACGGCUGAAGGUCGAAUUGUAAUCAGGAAAGCAAAUGUGGUUAGAAAUUUUAACUCUACUGAGUUUUCCUUGUGCUGUUAGCUGUUUUAUUAUUAGUCUGCUGCUGUGCUCAACCCCCUCCUUCAGGAAAGGACCUCUUUUGUCCCUGGUGGGUGUAAAAUGGUACUUUUUAUUUUGUUCUUACUCCUCCCCAUCAAGGCACUUCCUUUAUUUGUACCAAGCAGUGGGCCCAUAGACGGGUACCCCCACUGCUCUCACAUAACGUGGUCGGGAAGCACAGUAACUAGAACCUGUUAUAUCACACUUACUGUGAAUGCACCAUCACCCACCAAGGAAGGGGCACUCACAAUCAGACAACCUAUUCAGUCUGUGAUCCAGGAAAUGGCCAGUCUUAUAUAUGUUAUGAGCCUAGGUUCACACCUGGAACCUGGUUAGAGAUUCAUGCUGGGUCAAAAGAAGGGUACCUUCUAAACCAAACCUGCGUCUCCCCUUCCCACUGUGGGGAUCAUAUCCCUAUACUUUAAUCUCUGCUUAUUAACUGUCACAAGCAGUUUCCCCUCCCUUGUGAUCUCUAGUUCUGUGUGGCAUUCUAACAGCUGUCACUGGAAAACCUGUUCGUCCUCUGAUUGCCCUGCCAAAUCCCUAGUAAUAGCUUGCUGGCACCGUGUGACAUGGGUCCACAAGCCAACAAUCACAUGUCCUGCAUACUGAAGUACCAGCGGCACAUGACUGUAAAGUAACCUGUGAUCCUGUAAAUCUCAUGAUCUUAAAACCAGAUCUGCCCUUAUGGACUACAGGCUACCCAUGACAGUACAAUUUGGGGUUCACCCAAAGGCCUAUUUACAUAUUGUCAAAAAGGCUUGGACUCAUCCAUCCCAACAAUUUCGAGUUUUUGAGUCAUUCUAUGAGGAUAUCAAGCAGGAGUUGCCUGAACCCUCCCCUUUGGCUUAAAACCUAUUUGUUCAGCUAGCUGAGAACAUUACUGCCAGCAGCCUACGUAUCUCCUCAUGCUAUGUUUGUGGAGGAACCAACAUGGGAGACCAGUGGCCAUGGGAGGCAAGGGAAUUCGUGCCAGAAAAUAACUUCACUUUGACUGUCAUCCCCCUAACCUAUGCUUGCAGGUCAGAGCAUCUGGCUUUUAAAAAUCUCUAUUCGGGCGGUUUCUCAUUGCUUGCCGGGGAAAAGCCUUCACAAACUCGGUGGGAGAAUUAACUUGCCUGAGACAAUAUUACAAUGAGACAGUAGGGAAAACUCUAUGGUGGGGCGGGAAAAAUAAUUCCUCAUCACCCCAGUCAAAUCCAUUCUCUGAUUUCCCUUCUUUAAGCAACACUUGGUACAAACUUGAAGUUCCAAAUAGCUGGCAAGCACCCUCUGGCAUUUUCCCGUGGUUUCUGAAGUGCGUGGCCUCUGAAACUGUCUUGUCUCUUUUAGGUUCUGAUUCGUUGUCAGGGAAGGGCUCUGGAACAUGGGAGAGCCAAGCUCCUGCUUUGGGAAACUUGCUGUUACUUUGCACUGGAGACUCGCUGUGAAUUAUUUUUCGUACAAGAUCAAAAAACCCUCUCUUGGGGUCUGAAUCUGAGUCUCUUUCCUGUAACAAAACCAGUAAUAAAAAUUUGCCGGUUGGAGCCAGGUGCAGUGGCUCACACCUGUAAUCCCAGCACUUUGGAAGGCUGGCAGAUCACUUGAAGUCAGGAGUUCAAGAUCAGCCUGGCCAACAUGGCAUAACCCCAUCUCUACUAAAAAUAGAAAAAAUUGGCCGGACGCGGUGGCUCAACCCUGUAAUCCCAGCACUUUGGGAGGCCGAGGCGGGUGGAUCACGAGGUCAAGAGAUUGAGACCAUCCUGGUCAACAUGGUGGAACCCCAUCUAUACUAAAAAUACAAAAAAUUAGCUGGGCAUGGUGGCGCAUGCCUGUAAUCCCAGCUACUCGGGAAGCUGAGGCAGGAGAAUUGCCUGAACCCAGGAGGCGGAAGUUGUGGUGAGCCGAGAUCGUGCCAUUGCACUCCAGCCUGGGUAACAAGAGCGAAACUCCGUCUAAAAAAUAAAUAAAUAAAUUUCCGGACGUGGUGGCGCGUGCCUGUAAUCCCAGCUAUUCAGGAGGCUGAGGAAACCUAAAUACUCAUCCAACAGCUCCUAGAUCUCAAAAAUAAAUUCAGUAAAGUUUCGGGAUACAAAUUCAAUGUGCACAUAUUAGUGGCAUUGGUACACACCAACAGUGACCAAACUGAUAUUUAAAUCGAAGACUCAACACUUUUUUUUUUUUUUUUUUUUUU